UUAUUUUCAAUUUAAAUCAAUGAACCAGCUGUUGCUACAAUCCAAAAAGAAAAUUUGCACAUGACAAUCCAAAACAGUGGCUGGAAAAGAGUAAAAUCUGCACCAGAAAAAAUACCCUGAUUUUGGUGGUUUAGAGUCCAAUUUCGUAUGGAAGUAUUUCAACAGCUCAUGUAAGCAUCCAAACAACUUUCUUUGAUGAUUUUAAGCAUGUUCAAACUUUUAAACAGUUUAGAAACUCGUUGCAAUUCAAUUUCACUGGUUCACUUCCAUUUUUAGCCCAAAAAUGAUGGUUUAAAAGGCUAUUCUGCAUAUAGAUUCAUUUUUGACCAAAUGAACAGUGCUAGCAACUUUCAAACAUCAAUUAAAGCUUUCUCAAGCUAUGAAACAGCAAAGAAACAACAGAUUUCCAAAAAUCACCACUGUUGUACCAUUUUAUGCAGUAAAAUGCACCAAAUCACCAACCAAAUUCAGUUUUAUGGAAUCAAAAGGCUGGACAGUUAUGAAAUUAACUCAAAGAAGUGUAAAUGCACUGAACUAAGCUAGAAUUAAGGUUCUUAGCAUGACCAAACUCAGAUUAAACCAAACCAGAUAUUAUAGCACGGUGAAAAGCUCGAUUGAAAAUUGAGACAGCAAAUUGCUAGUGUUUAGGCACAACCAAGCUAUGCAAAUUGCACUUCCUUGCUUAUAAUGGUUGGCUAUACUUUUAGCAUCAUUCAACAACAUCAACCAAACUUGUGCAAGGCACCAGAAUCAAAUAAAGCAAACUGAAACAGUUUUAAAAAAAUUUAAAACCAGAUCCAAAUUCUGCAUCAGAAUUCAAAGCAGAAAUCACAAUAGAUUUGCUUUUAGUGCUUCAGCUUGUAUUACCAAGGCUAGAUCUAGUCUUCAUUGCCUUAUUUGGUAUAUAUACAACUGGUUUAGCACUUGCCACUCAAUUAAAAUGAAUUAAACUCAGCAGAACAGAAAAACCAAAUAUAACAGAAUUAAAACUGCAGUGGUGUGCACAUGACCGUGACAGUACGGAACUUGAAAAUUGAAGCUGAAAAUGACUCAAGCAAUGGAUAUUCACCGUUUAAAAUGAUAAAAACAACAUGAAGACACAAUGGAAAUACAGGAAUCAGAACUGGAAUCACAAUUUAAGUACCAAAACA
rnacentral:lncRNA from 1 species